rnacentral:misc_RNA from 1 species
GAUGAAGAACGUAGUGAAAUGCGAUACUUGGUGUGAAUUGCAGAAUCCCGUGAACCAUCGAGUCUUUGAACGCAAGUUGCGCCCGAAGCCAUUAGGCCGAGGGCACGCCUGCCUGGGCGUCACACGUCGUUGCCCCCCCAUCUACUCCUUCGGGAUUGCGGGGGGCGGAUGAUGGCCUCCCGUGCGCCUCGCCGCGCGGUUGGCAUAAAUGCCAAGUCCUCGGCGACGCACGCCACGACAAUCGGUGGUUGCGAAACCUCGGUUGCCCGUCGUGUGCGGUCGUCGCGCAUCGAGGGCUCGAAAAAAUUGCCGGGUUCCGGCUCGGCUUUCAACGCGACCCCAGGUCAGGCGGGGUUACCCGCUGAAUUUAAGCAUAUCAAUAAGCGGAGG